UACGUAGGGUGCGAGCGUUGUCCGGAAUUAUUGGGCGUAAAGGGCUCGUAGGCGGUUUGUCGCGUCGGGAGUGAAAACACCGGGCUUAACUCGGUGCUUGCUUUCGAUACGGGCAGACUAGAGGUAUGCAGGGGAGAACGGAAUUCCUGGUGUAGCGGUGAAAUGCGCAGAUAUCAGGAGGAACACCAGUGGCGAAGGCGGGUCUCUGGACAGUUCCUGACGCUGAGGCACGAAGGUCAGGGGAGCAAACGGG
rnacentral:rRNA from 1 species